AUCUUAGGAAACGUGGAUUCUUCUUGGCAAAUAUGGAUCUAGAUUAGUCAUGCCAAUCUCCGCAGACUUCAUCUGGAUGCUUAGUGCUCCUGAAACUUGGCCAUCUCUGCCUUCAGGCAGUGUUACUCUGGUGCUGAUUCCACUUCACGGUAGAAAUCUUGGAGAUGUGUCUGCAAGUUUACAAUUUGAACCUCCUAUCCAUCUGCAAAUCUUUCAAACCCAGGAACAUUUCUGAAUGAGGACUGAAGCACCUCCAGUUGUUCAGAGGAAAUGUUAUCACACAUCGGUGGACAAAACAGGCAAGCCACUUUACAACAGGAUGAAUGAAGGAAGGCUCCAAGAGCUUGCAAGCGAAGUCUGUCAGGGGGCUGAUAACUGUCUGCAGUGGCAAUGCUUUCAGCCCCCGCGUGUGUGUGCAGUGCUGGGACAGCUGAACGGGGUGACACCUCCCUCCUCUCUGCAGCUGCACUAUUGCAGCCUCACUGACACAGAUUAAAUGGGACUCUGCGGUAGAAAUCCUUCGUUCUUGCAAACGCCUGUGUUGUCUGUGGCUGAGGAUCUGACCGCUCCCUCGGGCUGCCCCGCUGGGGAAGGCAGCGCUGAAGGGGAUGGAUGGACCUGACACGCUGUUACCAGGCAGUGGGGAAAGCACGACGCCGGAGGGGACAGAGAGCUGUUUUGGGAAAACUCGCAGCAAAGAGCCCGCUCUGAACGCUGGAGCCAAAAGCCAGGGAUCAGCAUGCUGAGGGAGCUGGCACCUUCCCUAGAACACUGGGAGCUGGCGGGAACACAUCCCUCCCUGCAUGAAAGGGGCUCUGUGUUUUACGGUUUCAAACAGUGCACAGGUUAAAAAUAGGCUAGCCUGGGAAUAGAGCAACGUAAAGACAUUUAUAUGGUUUAGGGAGCAGAGAGACAAUUCUUUUCUGCAUGGUAAGUCAGGACAGAAAGCACUGCUGCUAUUUUCUGGGCAAGCAGAGGAGCAGCUUUAGCAACAGCUCCGCAGCCGUUGUCCUGUUUGUGGUGCUGCAAAAGCUGCAAGGAGUGUGAGUGGGGCGCAGUCAUUUUGCACACAGGGAGGCAAAAAGCAGAGGCGCCAGCCAUAAAAAUGACACCAUCUAUUUUAUAGAGGUGGAGGGCAGAGGUGGGAGAUGUGGCUGCAUCCUGCUGCUCUGCAGUUGUGCCAGGAUCAGUGUAUAUCUCCUAUAGCCAGCUGGAAACAUCGCCACUUCUACCUGGAGGUCACCUCUGCGUGGGAGUUAGCUCUCAGCUCCCAAGCAAUCCUGUUAUAACCUAAAUCAUUUGUGCCUGGAACAGUUUGAGGGAGCUCGGAGAAACCAUCCCACAAAUCAAGCAAAUGGGGCUGGAAACCUCCAGCAGAGGGUGGUAGCAAGCAGCUGGGCAGUGGUGGCUUGUGGAUGGGGUAAAAGCUGCUUGCAGAGCAAACACCUACUGCUGUCUGCUGGGGCUGCAGAAGGGAUGUGGGGUGGUAGCUUCAG
rnacentral:lncRNA from 1 species